AAGGAGGAGCCGUUACCAGCAUCGCCGCAUUCUUCUACCGUCGUUGGUGCCUCUCGCAAUUUUGAACCCUCAAGACUCCACGUAUUGGAGUCGUUUCAUUGCCAGCUGUCAGGUUGAAGCAGCUUCGUAGCUGGACAUCAGACGCCCUCCUACAGUUCCCCUUUUCAGCAACAGAGGCCUUGGAUGCCAUCCUGCCUGUGCUGUAUUGUGUGGCUGCCCACUGCAAGGAUCUCUGCAGCAUCAUUACGCAGG